AUUGAACGCUGGCGGCAUGCCUUACACAUGCAAGUCGAACGGUAACAGGUCUUCGGAUGCUGACGAGUGGCGAACGGGUGAGUAAUACAUCAGAACGUGCCUAGUAGUGGGGGAUAACUACUCGAAAGAGUGGCUAAUACCGCAUGAGAUCUACGGAUGAAAGCAGGGGACCGCAAGACCUUGUGCUACUAGAGCGGCCGAUGGCAGAUUAGGUAGUUGGUGGGAUAAAAGCUUACCAAGCCGACGAUCUGUAGCGGGUCUGAGAGGACGAUCAGCCACACUGGGACUGAGACACGGCCCAGACUCCUACGGGAGGCAGCAGUGGGGAAUUUUGGACAAUGGGCGAAAGCCUGAUCCAGCAAUGCCGCGUGCAGGAUGAAGGCCUUCGGGUUGUAAACUGCUUUUGUACGGAACGAAAAGCCCCGGGUUAAUACCCUGGGGUCAUGACGGUACCGUAAGAAUAAGCACCGGCUAACUACGUGCCAGCCGCCGCCGUAA
rnacentral:rRNA from 1 species